GCUGUUCAUGUAACGGGAACAUUGAAAUACUGAAUACAACAUUUCUUACAGAUAUUUAUUGGUUAUGUCAUUUAGAUUUGUAUAGUUUAUGUAAUUGUAUAUAAUAAUGAAUAGUGGCUGUAUAUGUAAUAAUGAAAGUGUGUAAUUUUGUUGAAAAUAGAACCCCUCCUCGAAAGUUCUCGGUAACGCGCGCGUGAGGGUGGCGCGCGCCUCCUUUAGCUCAGACCCGUUACUCACGAGACGCAGAUCAGACGGACGGGAGAUGAAGCGAAAAACACGAGAAAAACACGGCCCAGAUUCUGCGACGGGUCACGAAACCGAACAAUUUAUACGGAUUUCAGUCGUCAGAUGCUGGAUUUCACUCAUGGCGUUCACAGCGGUGUCGCGGUCCGAGGCCGUGCAGGUCUCAGUUCGUGACGAGCGGCGCUUCGCGAUGCUCUUCCAGUCGGUGGUUCUGCCGUGUCAGUACAGCAGCGUCUCCUCGCAGACUCCGGUCAUCCAGUGGUGGUACAAGUCCUACUGCCGCGAUCGCACGCGCGACGCCUUCCGCUUCCCCGACGCGCUGGCCGUCCACGGCUCUGAGCUCGGCUCCUCCGUUCACCUGGACUGCGGGGACAGCGGCCGGACGGUGCGCAUCGUGGCGUCUGGACAGGGAUCGUCCAUCACCCUCGCCGAGCACUACAAGGGCCGAGACAUCUCCAUCAUCAACAAGGCUGACCUGCGCAUCGGUGAGCUGCAGUGGGGCGACAGCGGCGUUUACUACUGUAAAGUGGUGAUCUCUGAUGAUCUGGAGGGUCAGAAUGAAGCACACGUGGAGCUGCUGGUGUUGGGUCAGACAGGUUUGACCGAUGAUCUUCUGCCUGGCUUAAAUGUGGAGAUUGUUCCAGAGUGGGUGUUUGUGGCCGCUGUGGUCGUGGGCAGUGCUCUGGUCAUCCUGCUGGUGGGUGUUUGCUGGUGUCAGUGUUGCCCUCAUUCAUGCUGCUGUUACGUGAGAUGCUGCUGCUGCCCAGAGACCUGCUGCUGCCCUCGACACCUGUAUGAAGCAGGAAAGGGGAUCAAGACAGCAGUUCCCACACCAGUGCCCAUGUUCCCUCCAUACUACAUACCUGGGAUGCCCACCAUGAUGCCCAUCGCCCCGCCGUCCCUCAUUGACCCAAACCUGUCCACUGCACCAUCACUGGAGCACAACGGCUCGGCGGUGCGGAGUGGUUUCCAUCUGCAGUCGGUGUCAGAUCAGAGCUCUCUGAAGGUGCUGCAGUACGUGGAGAAGCAGCUCGCUCAGUUCAACCCGUCUCAGACGCUUAGCAGCAGCCGAGACACCUGCAGUAUGUCCGAGCUGAGUUCAUUACAUGAUGCAGAAACGGACUUCCGUCAGACCUAUCGACAAGUACAAAAAAAGGCUCUACCAGCCAUCCCUGACCUCGAUGACCCCGCUGACCUCCGGACCACCGAUUUAUCUCCCGUUCACGAGGGCAGAUACACACGACAGCCACAGCACAGAAAUCAUGUGGCGGAUGACAACCCCAGGUGGAACCCUCGCUCAGAGCACCUGCAGAGGAAGGCUUUCCUGGAACGCGGACGGACUGGAUCUUUGGAUGAGCUGGAGGAGUUUGCGAUGACAUGUAUGCAGCGAGGACGUCACGGCGACCCGGGAAACAGGGAGGACGACUACAGAGCUCACGAACGGGAGCGCGAGAGGGAAAGAGAGCGAGAACGGGAGCUAGAACGGGAUCGCUAUCCAUUUUAUUGUUCCAAACGUUACUCUCCAAAGGCCAGUCCGGUGAGACGCCCGCCCAGCCCUCCGCCCCUACCUGGAAAAAGGCGGGACACGUGGGACAAUGAUCAACCCCAGCGGGAUCCACGAGAGCGGGAUCAGAGAGCUUCCAGUGGUACGGGGAGCAGAAGAGACUACGAUGAUGCCCUUCUCAACAGUUUAUUGGAGCGUAAAGCUAAAGCUGGGAAGAGCGGUUCUUCAAAAUUGGGCCGGACCGAAGAGGACUCGGACACGCCUUCCAGAAACAGCUCCAAAAAGACGAGUGAGCGUUUCCACAGCAGGUCUCCAAGCAACCAGUCGCCUCGCCAGCGGACGGCAGAGGAUAAUGAAUCCUUGCCACCCUACACAGAGAAGGAACUGGAGCGUUCCCGAGGAGCAGAGUCCGGACAACAGCCUUUCUGCUACACGCGCUCCGGUCACGGCUCUACGCCGAGUGGGCAGGAGGAGCAGAACCGCCCUCGUAAAGUGGUGAGUUAUCUGUAGGACUCUGUGUGAGUUUGUUGUUCCCCCUCACAGCACUGCGGGUCUGCGUUUGUCUCGCAUCUAAAUGGAUGCGCUGGUGCAGUGAAAGAAAAGCAGCGAGGUUGAAGCCGCUUCAGUCGAAGCCUUAGAAAGGCUUUUGAAAAGGUCUUCAGCCAUUUGAAGUAUGUAGUCCUGAAACCCUCCAACACAAUUUGUAGCAUGAUUGGAAAAAUUCCUAUUUCAAAAAGAGACCUCAAGAAUUAAAGAUCCUUAAUUAAAAGAGAGAAAUCAGAACAUUAUGAAUCCAGUUUCACCAGAGAAGCACUCUAUAAGAUUUCCUCUUGCAGUCAUCAUCCUUACCAUUUAUUUCAUUCAUAUCUCUUGUAGACAUUUUUUGAUGAACAAAGUGCGCAGUUUGAUUCCGACCUAGGUCUUUCGAUCACGGUUCGAUUUGCACCGCGAUUUGACCACAGAAAAUAACCUGUACACAGAGCACUCUUCUGAGCAGAGACUCGCUCAUAGUGUGAUGUCCUCACACACACACACACACACACACACACACGAGGACGUCGCCACGCUUGCAGACACACUCCAGCUUCACCGAUCCUGCGGAGCUCCAGCGCUGCGGAACGAAGGUUUGUGGGUCUGAAAUAUGUUUUACAGUAACUUCCCCUAAAAUGGGUCAGCGUUGACUCAAAAUAUCAGUAUUCAUUCAUGAGGUACGCAGAGACUCUGUUCGAUGAAAACAUUUCCUAAACAGUGGAAUGACGACGUUUACAUGUUGCUGGACUUUAUAUAUGAGGUUUAUUUCACACGUAUAUAAUCUCAAGCUGCUCCGUUUGAAUGGAGAUGAUACUUUGCUAAAUUGUUACAUUCUGAUGAAAUGUAUCGAUAAACACAUUCAUAACUGCUGUGCCGGAUAACUAAUGAUGUGCUGCUUUUGCACAAGAUAUUAAUAUCAUUGCAGAUCUUGUUAUUCUCAAGGUUUUAUCAGUAUUAUACGAUUUUCAAAUUAACGAAUGAUAAUAUUGUGUAUUUUUGGGAAGGACACUGGAAAGCUGAGCAAAACUGUUUAAAGAUUACAGGAAGUCAUUUGGUUUCAGCAGUUCCACAGAAUUAUCAUGUUAGAUAAACAAGACAGUAUUUUCAUUUACUGACUGCUAGAUUUCACUGACGCACGUCUGGAUGAUAUGUGCUGAUUUCUGAACCGUACUCUAGUACAUCGUUCUGCCGCAGAUACAGUCAGAGAAGUGCGGUUAGUUCAGGAUCCCCUCAGACGUCACAGUAUAAUGUGAAACACUUCAGUGUCUGACGGCGUGAGUGUGUGUGUGUGUGUGUCGACGCGUGACGUCACCGGACGAUGAUCUCAUCUGAACGACGCGUGUGUGUCUCUCUCAGACUGACGUCACUGUGUUUACUCUGGUGUUCUGUUGCCUUCAAAUAGUUGUUUGUUACUCAAGUUAGUCUUAUCAAACAAAACACUCUUUUAUCCCAAUACUUGAGAAAAUGGUUAAUAUAAUUACAAUUGUGCCUUUGAGGACUGAAAAUCAUUUGUAUGCAACUUUGUUUACAUUUUGUAUGUUUUCACAUUUAUUGCCUUAUGAAAUUUGUAUAUUAGCUGUAUGCAGACUCAAAUUAUGUUAAUAACUACAUCAUCAAAUGAAUUUCAGUAAAAACUUGACAAACGCUUC